UGGAUGAGGCGUGUCUUCAGAGCUCUCCUACAUUCUUCUCAACACCAGGCUUCCCACCCUCCAACUUCUCCAGUCGCCUACAGCUCAAUUCAGGGCGCCACUGAAGAGAAGAGAGCGAUUUGGCUUUGAUUCCAGGGUGAUGUUUCACAGAGCGUCAACUCUUGUUCCAGAACAAAGCAAGACCUUGGACUUGGCUGGAGAUGGAUCCUGAGCCUUUUCAUCUUCCAUCCUCUGGAAGUCAACACAGG